CUUCAAGGUCAUGUCCUCUAAACUCUGGAUAUUGGGAUGGCUGAGCUAUCUAAGAAUAAUCACCAGCAAUAAUAGCUAACAUGCAUGAAGGCUUCCUGUGAACUCAGGCUCUGUUCUGUAUGCUCUUCGUGCAGUGUUUCCUUUAACCUGCACAACAGCCUUGAAUAGCAGGUCCCAUUAUUAUCCCGUUUUACAAACGGAGAAAAAUGGAAACGGAGCUACUGAAUGGCAGAAUCCAGGCUCACAACAAGGUCAAGUGGGAACACAUAUGCUCCCUACUGAGGAAAAUAAACUGCAGUGUAUUUUUAGCAUCCGUUGGAAGGACUCGCAGCUGAAGCUACGCAGGAUCCAGGCCAUUUACUGAAGGCCCAAGGAUUGGCAGCAAUGUCACCAAGAAUUCCAGAAUGUGCCCUGGGGGUCUAUCUCUCUAAUUCCACCUCCUUGUUCCACUGAGCUGAUGUGGGAAAAGUAGGCAAAUGCAUGAAGGCAUCAAGGUCAACGGCAGAUCCCAUCCUGGAUACAUUACAAUCAUCAUGUCUUCUAAGGGUCUGCGGGACUGUGACAAGUUCUCAGACUUUCAUUUCAAUGAACUUGACAGUGUUGAGGAGCACUCAUCAGCAUGAGUUCCAUCUUGCUUUAGCCUCCACAGCCAUCGGCCAUCACCAGCAGAAGUAAGGGGAGAAGCCCCAUUAAGUACAUUGUAAACUUCGAGCCUGAAUUCUGCAGUCAGACUCACAAAGCUGAUUAAGCACUUUUAAGAUCACAACAGGGACAAUCAUUCAGAUGGUUGGUGAUGCUCCCGGAACAUUCUGCGUCCCUCCAAGCAACCUCUGUUCAAAUGCAGUGCAUCCAUGCAUGGCUGACACCAUGGACCUAUUUACAUUGUGACCGUGUACUAUACUGAUGGAAUCAUAUUUUUAUGUGCUUUACCUUUUAACAGAAUUCAAAGUAUUAUGAAAAGAGAUAUUAUGCUGAGGCUGACCAGCAGAUCCUGAGCAACGGAUGAAUGGAUUACUCCAACACAACAUUUGCUGUGAAAGAGAGGGCUAAGGGAUCGCCUGGCUAAAGGAACCAGACAGCCUCGAUUGCCUGCCUCAUUAGGCUUUUAUUGUAAUAACAGUUUGAGAUAAAGUUUAUCUUUUAGAUACAAUCAGUAGAGUAAGUAAUAUUGGGAGGAUAUAUGUGUCUGCAAUGUCCUUUAAGCAAGGACACCUAAAGAUUACGCAUAAGGAUUCCAGUAAACACCCGGGGGUCUGCAGGUGCACAGACUUGUUUGGAAAGGUCCAGGAAUAGUUAGGACACCGCAUUUAGCACUCUAUUAAGUCGGAAUUCUGGUAAACAGAGCAGGUGGCCUUCUGCACACUUCCCUUUUCUCAGAAUGUCCUCCUUACAAAUUUUCCAACCAAGUCUCAUGUGCUCCAACAAUAUUACGUCUUUAAAUUGUCAUGCUAUUGUUUGUGUUAAGACAGUGGCAGAGAAUAGAAAUUUCCUCCCCCAGUCUAAUCUCCCCAGUUUCUUUAAGUAACAGAUCCCCAGUUUUUGGUUGGUGCAUUGCCGUCCAGUUAACAGAGGACAUUCCCUAGUUUCAUGUGCAGAUGACUUGGUCAGAUGACUAGGUGCUUGCCAUAGAGAUGUGAGUGAGAGCAUCAUGUGGUAGGUCUGCAGUAGUGUCCUUAUGAAGAAAGUGUUCUGUGCUAAUUCUGCCUCUGGGCCUGAAACAUGGCCGAGAUGGCUGGAGCACCAGUUGUCUUGUUAGAUGAUGAGUACAGGGGCUAUUAGAGAUCAUAGAGUUGACAGCCAGAAGGAGAUUGAGCCCUUAAUGAAUUUUGGGCUCCUUGCCACACCAACCCCCAAAUUGCCUAUUUAUAAAACCCGUUUGCAAGAGAAAGUGGCCAACAGUUAUAUGCAGCUGACCCAAUUUGGACUGGUACAAGGUAUAGUUACAUUAUGCCCCUUUCACAUUCAAUUCAUAUGAAUGAGGCUUAAUCACAGAUAAUUAAUACACCGAUUACAUGAUGAUAAAAUAGUGUAAAAUCUACUAAUUGUACUGAACUGCUGGCUGAAUGUAGCAUUUUUAUUUAUAGUACAAAAUAAAAAAUGUUAAGAUGCUUCAGAGAGUGUAGCUGAUCCCAAAGCCAAUUUUAGACAGCAAUAAAUAGCUCUAGCCACCAAAGAUGUCCCCUUACUGAAAAAAAAGCACCAUAGUCUAGUUAAAAUAGAAACACUGCCAUUGGUUUUGUCGAUUUACUAGCUACUUUUGUUUUAAGUUUUAGGUAGAUUUUAAACACAAUUAUUGUGCUGAAGAAAUUUCUUCCUCAGAAAGAACGGAAGUCUCUGUUCUAGAAACACAUACAUGAAAAUGUUUUAAACAACCAGAGUGGGAGAGAGACAGAGACUAAGGUAAAGGCAGUACAAUGGAAGAUCAUGAUACUGGUCAGUAGGCAAACUGGGAAAAGCAGAACUUGGAGGGGAAUGAUGAAAGUGGGUGUCCUAUGUGCUGGCUGGGACAUAGGGUAGUGAUAAUACCCACUGCAGUCAUUCGCCGCUUAACGACAUUUCGGUCAACAACAGGCCGCGUAUACAAGGGUGGUCCCACAUAAUUAUAAUGAAGCUGGAAAUUCCUACUGUCUAGUGACAUCAUAACAUCCUGGCUCGGUGUUUGUGUUUGUGGUGAUGCUGGUGUAAACAAACCUAACGCCCCACCAGUGGAAUAAAUGUACAGCACAUACAAUUACAGUAGUCGGCUAUGCCAUCCACGCUUAUGUAAGUGCACUUCAUGAUGUCUGUACACGAUGUAAUAGCCUAAUGAUGCAUUUCUUGGAAUGGCUCAUUACUAAAUGUGAAUAAUGGAUUUCUGUUUACAAAGCCCAUGAAUUAACUCACUCAGAGAUAGGAACACUGGGAGGGUUGUGAGAGCUUAUGGGUGAGGGAAGGGAAGACCAUAAAGGAAGCAGGAGGCAGUUCUUCUGGGUGACGGAAAAGUAUAAAGCCUUCACAUUCCAGCCACCCAAGAUAACCAAGGCUGGUCGUAAUGUUUGGUCGCGUUUAUAAAUAGCAGGGAAUGAUUCAGGUUUUGCAUCUCACUCUUAUGCUGUUUUGGAGAACCUCUUUAAGGAGAAUACAAAAUUAAGUUCAGGGUCUUGAAAGAGACCUACGCAAGUGAGUUCCUAACACUUUGUUAGUGCCACAGUAAAUCCAGCUCUGGUCAUUCUUUAUACCUUAAAAACAAACAAAACCGGCACCAUAGUAUACAUACUCUUCUGUAAACUCUUCCCCUCAACUACAUAUCUUGGGUACACUCCUCGGUCAACACAUGAUUUAGCUCAUCUUUUAAAAUAAUUCCGUGAUUGUCCCUCAUUGAUGAUAUUUAAGUUUUAUUGCCACAC